GUGGGGAAUAUUGGACAAUGGGGGAAACCCUGAUCUAGCCAUGCCGCGUGAGCGAUGAAGGCCUUAGGGUUGUAAAGCUCUUUCAGAGGGGAAGAUAAUGACGGUACCCUCAGAAGAAGCCCCGGCUAACUCCGUGCCAGCAGCCGCGGUAAUACGGAGGGGGCUAGCGUUGUUCGGAAUUACUGGGCGUAAAGCGCACGUAGGCGGACCAGAAAGUCAGGGGUGAAAUCCCGGGGCUCAACCCCGGAACUGCCUUUGAAACUCCUGGUCUUGAGGUCGAGAGAGGUGAGUGGAAUUCCGAGUGUAGAGGUGAAAUUCGUAGAUAUUCGGAGGAACACCAGUGGCGAAGGCGGCUCACUGGCUCGAUACUGACGCUGAGGUGCGAAAGCGUGGGGAGCAAACAGGAUUAGAUACCCCUGUAGUCC
rnacentral:rRNA from 1 species